rnacentral:rRNA from 1 species
CCCUUAGAUGUUCUGGGCCGCACGCGCGCUACACUGAUUCAUGCAACAAGUUUUGUCCUUGGCUGAUAGGCCUGGGUAAUCUUUGAACGUGAAUCGUGAUGGGGAUAGAUGAUUGCAAUUAUUCAUCUUCAACGAGGAAUUCCUAGUAAACGCAAGUCAUCAGCUUGCAUUGAUUACGUCCCUGCCCUUUGUACACACCGCCCGUCGCACCUACCGAUUGAAUGGUCCGGUGAAAUCUUCGGAUCUGAGAGAUGUUGGAUUAAUUUCUGACGCCUUUUGGAAAAGUCGCUUAAACCUUAUCAUUUAGAGGAAGGUGAAGUCGUAACA